CUAGAAGGUGUUUAGUAGGCUAAAAAAUAAACACUGGCUCUUGAUGAAAAUGUAAUGUUUCCAUAAAAGUGGACUUUCCUUAGUGACUUCUUUGCUGCUGUGCCACGGCCAGGAUCUGCCUUCUUGUCUGAAAUGAUCAGUUUUGAUGAUCUCAGCCCGUCGUCCAUUGCUUUCCCAUGAGAAAGCAUUGAGAGGUUAGUGUCCAUGAAAAAUCUCUUGAUCAUUUGAAGUGCGUUUCACUCUGUUUUGGCUGAAGUGCCUCUAAUGGCUGUCACUAGAGGCAAAAUAACCCUGCAAUGUAAACCUUCCAUCAGCGCAAUUGCAGAGUUAAAAUUACAGGGACAUGGCAC